CUAAGAUGUAGUAACUGGCUGGGUUCAAAUUUGCCCACUAAUUCCCAUUUCCUCCUGUCAUUUUUAGAUGUUUAUAAGACCUUGUCACUGGAAUAUAUUUCCCAGGUGCCCUUGCAGGGUUGGCAAACAUGAAGAAGGCUGGCAUAAGAGCUGAGUGGCCAUCUGUGACCAGAGGGCACACUCUUGCUACAGCAAACAUGUGGCAGUCAGUUUGCUGGAAUUGGUUCUCUCCUAGUAUCUCGGGUUUGAACUUAGAUCAUCAGCCUUGGAGGCAAACAUCUUUACCAACUGAGCUAUUUCUCUGUCCUCCCCAAAGCGACUAUCAUUCUUUCUAAGUUGCUGUCCAGUGCUUCAAUCCUGUG
rnacentral:lncRNA from 1 species